GGGCAAAGAAACAGGCUGGGAGACAGGCAAUGUAGGAGGGGAGAUGUCAUGAUUGAAAAUAGCAGAAGGAAUAGACACUGGAGAAUCAGGAGAAGGGUGAAGAGGAGAGGAAGGAGAAGAUUCAUUGGAAGAUGGUAGAGUGAAAGAUUGAGGGAGAAUGUCAUCAGAAAAGGGAACAUGUGGAGGAGAAGUAGAAGAGGGAGGAGGAGACUUGAAUGGAAAGUGAGUUUCAUGAAAAACAACAUUCCUAGAAACAAAGCAUUUCUUGGAAUUCAAGUCAUAAAGUUUAUAACCUUUCUUACCAAAGGGNNN
rnacentral:lncRNA from 1 species